rnacentral:rRNA from 1 species
AUACAAGAAGAGGGCAACGCAGGACCGGGGGAACCCGGAGAAUGCGAGUCAACAAGCUUUUUGGAGCAAGGGCGAAGAGUAAGCGUUCAAGUGACAAAGGGCAGACGGGGAAUGCCUAGGCAGCAGAAGGCGAAGAAGGACGUGGCGAGCUGCGAAAAGCUUCGGGGAGCCGCUCACAGGCGUUGAUCCGGAGGAAUCCGAAUGGGGGAACCCCACUGGGGGAAUGCCCAGUGAGCCUUGCCUGAAUUCAUAGGGCAAGGCGGCAAACCCGGGGAAGUG